UACGAAGGGGGCUAGCGUUGCUCGGAAUCACUGGGCGUAAAGCGCACGUAGGCGGACUCUUAAGUCAGGGGUGAAAUCCUGGAGCUCAACUCCAGAACUGCCUUUGAUACUGACGAUCUGGAGAUCGGGAGAGGUUGGUGGAAUUCCGAGUGUAGAGGUGAAAUUCGUAGAUAUUCGGAGGAACACCAGAAGCGAAGGCGGCCAACUGGCCCGAUACUGACGCUGAGGCGCGAAAGCGUGGGGAGCAAACAGG
rnacentral:rRNA from 1 species